CUGGCUCAGGAUGAACGCUAGCUACAGGCUUAACACAUGCAAGUCGAGGGGUAACAUGAUUGGAGCUGCUCCGAUUGAUGACGACCGGCGCACGGGUGAGUAACGCGUAUCCAACCUGCCCCAUGCUCUGGGAUAACCUUCCGAAAGGGAGCCUAAUACCGGAUGUAGUGCGACGAUGGCAUCAGAAUUGCACGAAAGAUUCAUCGGCAUGGGAUGGGGAUGCGUCUGAUUAGCUUGUUGGCGGGGUAACGGCCCACCAAGGCGACGAUCAGUAGGGUUCUGAGAGGAAGGUCCCCCACACUGGUACUGAGACACGGACCAGACUCCUACGGGAGGCAGCAGUGAGGAAUAUUGGUCAAUGGACGCGAGUCUGAACCAGCCAAGUAGCGUGCAGGACGACGGCCCUACGGGUUGUAAACUGCUUUUAUGAGGGGAUAAAGUGUGGGACGUGUCCCUUAUUGCAGGUACCUCAUGAAUAAGGACCGGCUAAUUCCGUGCCAGCCGCGGC
rnacentral:rRNA from 1 species